AUUGAACGCUGGCGGCAGGCCUAACACAUGCAAGUCGAGCGGACGAAGGGAGCUUGCUCCUGGAUUCAGCGGCGGACGGGUGAGUAAUGCCUAGGAAUCUGCCUGGUCGUGGGGGAUAACGUCCGGAAACGGGCGCUAAUACCGCAUACGUCCUGAGGGUGAACGUGGGGGAUCUUCGGACCUCACGCUAUUAGAUGAGCCUAGGACGGAUUAGCUAGUUGGUGGGGUAAAGGCCUACCAAGGCGACGAUCCGUAACUGAUCUGAGAGGGUGAUCGGUCACACUGGAACUGAGACACGGUCCAGACUCCUACGGGAGGCAGCAGUAGGGAAUAUUGGACAAUGGGCGAAAGCCUGAUCCAGCCAUGCCGCGUGUGUGAAGAAGGUCUUCGGAUUGUAAAGCACUUUAAGUUGGGAGGAAGGGCAGUAAGUUAAUACCUUGCUGUUUUGACGUUACCAACAGAAUAAGCACCGGCUAACUUCGUG
rnacentral:rRNA from 1 species